rnacentral:tRNA from 1 species
UCAAGAGGGGAGGAUUUUCACCUCCUCCACUGGCAUCCAAAGCCAAAAUUCUU